rnacentral:rRNA from 1 species
GUAACACGUAGUCAACAUGCCCAGGGGACGUGGAUAACCUCGGGAAACUGAGAUUAAACCGCGAUAGGUCAAGAUUUCUGGAAUGGAUCGUGUCUUAAAUCUACAUGGCCCCUGGAUUGGACUGCGGCCGAUCAGGCUGUUGGUGAGGUAAUGGCCCACCAAACCUAUAACCGGUACGGGCUCUGAGAGGAGAAGCCCGGAGAUGGGCACUGAGACAAGGGCCCAGGCCCUAUGGGGCGCAGCAGGCGCGAAACCUCUGCAAUGGGCGAAAGCCUGACAGGGUUACUCUGAGUGAUUUCCGCUAAGGAGAUCUUUUGGCAGCUCUAAAAAUGGUGCAGAAUAAGGGGUGGGCAAGUCUGGUGUCAGCCGCCGCGGUAAUACCAGCACCCCGAGUGGUCGGGACGAUUAUUGGGCCUAAAGCAUCCGUAGCCGGUCGUGCAAGUCCUCCGUUAAAUCCAGCCGCUCAACGGAUGGGCUGUGGAGGAUACUACAGGACU